rnacentral:rRNA from 1 species
AGAGUUUGUUCCUGGCUCAGGAUGAACGCUAGCGACAGGCCUAACACAUGCAAGUCGAGGGGUAACAGGGGAGCUUGCUUCCGCUGACGACCGGCGCACGGGUGAGUAACACGUAUGCAACCUGCCUGUAAUUGCGGGAUAGCCUUUUGAAAGGGAGAUUAAUACCGCAUGUGAUUAUAUUACCGCAUGGUAAUAUACUUAAAUGCAAAGAUUACAGAUGGGCAUGCGUUUCAUUAGCUAGUUGGGGGGGUAACGGCCCACCAAGGCUACGAUGAAUAGGGGUUCUGAGAGGAAGGUCCCCCACACUGGUACUGAGACACGGACCAACUCCUACGGGAGGCAGCAGUGAGGAAUAUUGGUCAAUGGACGGAAGUCUGAACCAGCCAUGUCGCGUGCAGGAUUACGGCCCUAUGGGUUUUAAACUGCUUUUAUACGAGGAUAAAAUGUACUAUGUAUAGUAUAUUGCAGGUAUCGUAUGAAUAAGGAUCGGCUAACUCCGUGCCAGCAGCCGCGGUAAUACGGAGAUCCGAGCGUUAUCCGGAUUUAUUGGGGUUUUAAAGGGUGCGUAGGCUGGGAAAAUAAGUCAGCGGUGAAAGUUCAGGGCUUAACUUUGAAAUUGCCGUUGAAACUGUUUUUCUUGAGUAUAUUGGAAGUAGGCGGAAUGUGUAGUGUAGCGGUGAAAUGCAUAGAUAUUACACAGAACCCCGAUUGCGAAGGCAGCUUACUAUACUAUUACUGACGCUGAUGCACGAAAGCGUGGGGAUCAAACAGGAUUAGAUACCCUGGUAGUCCACGCUGUAAACGAUGAUAACUCGCUGUUUGCGAUAUACCGCAAGUGGCCAAGCGAAAGCGUUAAGUUAUCCACCUGGGGAGUACGCCGGCAACGGUGAAACUCAAAGGAAUUGACGGGGGCCCGCACAAGCGGAGGAACAUGUGGUUUAAUUCGAUGAUACGCGAGGAACCUUACCCGGGCUUGAAAUGCAUCUGACGUACUGUGAAAGCAGUAUUCUAGCAAUAGCAGGUG